CUUACAGGGAUCUCCUUUCAAGCUUGAGAGGCAGUGUGGGAGAAAGCCCAAAGCUUGACAAUCUCCUCAUUUUAACUCUCUGAUGUGAAGGUUUGGAGUCGGUUGGGACACUGACCUGAGAAGGACUGGGGGUCAGAAAGUUCAUGGCCAUCACACUCACCCUCAGAUUAUAGUUCAUCAGGACUACUUGUGCCAGUUGAGAUCCAUCUGGAACAACACUGUGGAUAGUAAUCAAGGAUUACUGGCCUAAUGGAUAAGGGGAAGCCGUGGAAUGAUACAUACUGUCUUUAAAAAAAAAAAAAACUUAACAUGACUGUGGCUAUCCUGUAGUUCAGGCGUUGGCAACCUCUGGCAUGCAGCUCCCCAGGGUAAGCACCCUGGCAGGCCGGGACAGUUUGUUUGCCUGCUGCAUCCGCAGAUUCAGCCGAUCGUGGCUCCCACUGACCGCAAUUCACUGCUCCAGGCCAAUGGGGGUGGCGGGAAGCCGCGGCCAGCGCAUCCCUAGGCCCGCGCUGUUUUGGUACCAGCCUGACUCCACAGCAUCUCCUCCCCUGCAUAGAAGAAAGAAUGGGGAGGAGAGCAAAGUGUUUCCUUGUAAGGGGGAUAACCCUAAAGAUAUUGUUGUGCAGCACCUUUAAGGACAUUCAGCUGAAAAGACUAUUCCUUUCCCCCUCCCCCGCCACGCACCCUAGCUACCUCUCAGAAGAAUCAGGCAUGCUUUCUGUAUGUGUAGAACAUCUCAUCAUUAUCAACAAAGACUUGAGGAUGUGAGAAGAAGAGGAUUCACAGACUCUGCCCCCUGAGCAAGGAGUAGGGAUCUGGCUGUCUUGGAACCACUACCCAACAGGCCCUAAAACAAAAGUCCCAAGAUAAGGUGCACCUAUGGCUGUAGAGUCAGUAGAAUAUGGCGCUCCAGACAACUUCACACUGAAUUUCAAUGACAGGAUUUUCCAUUUAACCUAGAUUUUAAGCGAGGUUUGAGUGAGUGCUGUGGUGAAUGUUAUCAGUAAAAUCUGCAAAUUUAAAAGUCAUUUGAUUUUUUCCCAUGCUCUUUCUACUGCUACAGAGAAGUAAGAAAAAUUGAAAA